GACGAACGCUGGCGGCGUGCUUAACACAUGCAAGUCGAACGGAAAGGCCCCUUUGGGGGUACUCGAGUGGCGAACGGGCGAGUAACACGUGAGUAACCUGCCCUUGACUUCGGGAUAACUUCAGGAAACUGGGGCUAAUACCGGAUAGGAAUCCUUGCUGCAUGGUGGGGGUUGGAAAGCUUCGGCGGUUUUGGAUGGACUCGCGGCUUAUCAGCUUGUUGGUGGGGUAGUGGCUUACCAAGGCUUUGACGGGUAGCCGGCCUGAGAGGGCGACCGGCCACCUUGGGACUGAGGUACGGCCCAGACUCCUACGGGAGGCAGCAGUGGGGAAUAUUGCACCAUGGGCGGAAGCCUGAUGCAGCAACGCCGCGUGCGGGAUGACGGCCUUCGGGUUGUAAACCGCUUUCAGCAGGGGCGAAGCUUGUGGUGACGGUACCUGCAGAAGAAGCACCGGCUAACUACGUG
rnacentral:rRNA from 1 species